GGUUGAGGAUGAAUCAAGUGAAUAUAUAUCAUUAGAAUGAUUCAAGCUGCCUCUUGAUGGAAAACUUCUUGAUGGUGGAGUUAAGCUAUUAAAGAAAGUUCGCAGUGGGGUACGGAGUUUCUCUCGUUUCUUAAGGGCUGAACAAACAUGUUAAUAGCAGGAAGAUUAUGUCAUGGAAGAUUUUGUGCUGCCUUUGUAUCAGCCGACUAGCCAUUGGCUAGUUCCAACAACGAGAUGCUUUCAUCUUACUUAAUGUUUGUAAGUUCUAUGGCAUGGGUGCCUUUGCUCGUGCCCUUCUUCAAUGUAAUUCUGUUUCCUUGAAGUGUGAGAAUUCUAGUUUUGGAUUGGUUGUCCAAAAUUACUGUUUUGCACUUGUUAAGGCAGUCGGCCUGUUGAUUUUAUGAUCUGUUGGGCCUGAUUUACAGGGUUUGUAAUGUACCCCAACUAGCAUUUAUCACGAUGCUCCAUGAAAUGAAUGUUUCAGCUAUGUAGUAACUGGUAACAGCACUUGGAUGUUUUAGGCGUUUCAUGUUAUUGUUCCAUUUUUGUCUC